AUUCCCACAUAAAUAUUUAGAAAAAAAAAAAAUUUAUUACAAAUAGAAAUUUACAAAGUGAUUUAUAUAAAUGCUUAGAGAAUUUUAUGUGACAGUUUUCAAACUACAGCAGAAUGAUUAAAAAAAGACUAAAAAACUAAAUAUCAGCGGAUAAGCUAUACUCUGACUGACGCUUGCCCGUCUGCAGGCAACAAUUGUUCACGAACUCGUGUACGCACUGCAUGUGCUUUAAAAGUUUUUUUUAAAUAUAUAAUAAUAUUUAUUAAUAAUACUCAAUUGUUAUUAUUAUUUCCAUUAUUCAUGAUAAAUUUAACGCAAGUUGGAUCAAAAUACAUUCAAUGAAGAAGAGAUUUCACAAGAUUAAAUUUGUGAUAAACUUACACCAACUCCAAUAAAGUUAAAUUUAGUAAUAGUCACAUUAUUAUUAUAAGCUACAUAA
rnacentral:lncRNA from 1 species